GAAGGAAUUGGAGUCGUAUCCGCUUUGGAGCCUUGAUAAUUUUUCGGAUUUGUCGCGUAGAUUGAUUUGGAUAAGAUAUUUUUCUUUUACGAAAGACUCGAUUGCGGAGGAAUUCUACUUUAUCUGAAAUUUCUCAAUUUAGGAGAGGGAGAGAUAGAUCUGUCGGUGGAAAGCAUAGCUCGGAUACAGACGAGCUGAGAUAGAUCAUCCAAGGUCGAGAUC
rnacentral:lncRNA from 1 species